rnacentral:lncRNA from 1 species
GCGGCACCGCCGAGCUCCGAGCUGUGAGGACCGCCCCGGGCCUUGGGCGGGGCGGGGGCCAGGGAGGGGCGUGCGCAGGAUUGGGGAGCACGUUUUGCGUCUUGCUGUGCGUGAGGAAGCGGGGCUCCAGGUCAAGGCUAUGGAAAGUUCCAGAAGCAAAAACAAAAAAAGUUCGGGUACAGCGGCUCACACCUGUAAUCCCAGCUCUUAGGGAGAUGGAAACUGGAGGAUCACUUGAGGCCAGGAGUUCAAGACCAGCCUGGGCAACAUAGCAAGACCCAGUCUCUUAAAAGAAAAUUAAAAAGAAAGAGUAAAUAAAGUUCCAGAAGCUUUGCUCUCCUUAUCCAAGCAGCGUUUGUACUUUGGCACUGGAAAGUGUGGGAGUCAGGUGUUUGUGAGAGCACGUGUUGGUUGUCG